AGCAUUGAGAGCAAUGAUUGAUGAGCAAUCAUCAGGAGAUUGAAGGAGAUGUUCAGUUCCUAAACUUUGUCUAGGUCACACCCCAAAAGGGAUGAGACUCCUGGGCCAUUAGCUCAGGUGGUUAGAGCGCACCCCUGAUAAGGGUGAGGUCCCUGGUUCAAGUCCAGGAUGGCCCAUUCGGUGUUGGGGGUUUAGCUCAGUUGGUAGAGCGCCUGCUUUGCAAGCAGGAUGUCAGGAGUUCGAGUCUCCUAACCUCCACUGACCGAACUUGAUUCCCAUCUCCAAGUGUUUGGAGUUGAGCUCGAUUGGCGUGUGAUUUUAGAUGUGUCCGCUGGAUGACCCCAGCUUCCUGUCAUUCCAAAUGAAAGCAAAGAAAAAUUGCUUGUUGAGUUUGGUUGAUAAGAUGCUGGGCUCGAAUCAGAUAAUCAAGCAAUUGAUUGUUUGAUUUGAUGUUCUAGCAGAACCUUGACAACUGCAUAGGUAAGUCUGGAAAAACAAAGCAUCUUACAGAUGCAUUGUUUUGAGUCUGAUCUUUCGAAAGGGAGAUUAGAUCCAGAGCAAUGAAAAUUCUUUUGAGC
rnacentral:tRNA from 1 species